UACAGAGGGUGCGAGCGUUGUCCGGAAUCACUGGGCGUAAAGCGCGCGCAGGCGGUUGGCAGAGCCCGGCGUGAAAGCCCCCAGCUCAACUGGGGGGAGGCCGUCGGAGACCUGUCGACUUGAGGCCGGUAGGGGAGAGCGGAAUUCCCGGUGUAGUGGUGGAAUGCGUAGAUAUCGGGAGGAACACCAGUGGCGAAGGCGGCUCUCUGGACCGGUGCUGACGCUCAGGCGCGAAAGCGUGGGGAGCGAUCCGG
rnacentral:rRNA from 1 species